CCUACGGGAGGCAGCAGUGAGGAAUAUUGGUCAAUGGACGAGAGUCUGAACCAGCCAAGUAGCGUGAAGGAUGACUGCCCUAUGGGUUGUAAACUUCUUUUAUAAAGGAAUAAAACGAGGCACGUGUGCUCUUCUGCAUGUACUUUAUGAAUAAGGAUCGGCUAACUCCGUGCCAGCAGCCGCGGUAAUACGGAGGAUCCGAGCGUUAUCCGGAUUUAUUGGGUUUAAAGGGGGCGUAGAUGGGUUGUUAAGUCAGUUGUGAAAGUUUGCGGCUCAACCGUAAAAUUGCAAUUGAUACUGGCAGUCUUGAGUGCAGAUGAGGUAGGCGGAAUUCGUGGUGUAGCGGUGAAAUGCUUAGAUAUCACAAAGAACCCCGAUUGCGAAGGCAGCUUACUAAGCUGUGACUGACAUUGAGGCUCGAAAGUGUGGGGAUCAAACAGGAUUAGAUACCCUAGUAGUC
rnacentral:rRNA from 1 species